rnacentral:rRNA from 1 species
UACAGAGACUGCAAGCGUUGUUCGGAUUCAUUGGGCGUAAAGGGUGCGCAGGCGGACCGUUAAGUCGGAUGUGAAAUCUCGCAGCCUAACUGUGAUAGGUCAUUCGAAACUGGCGGACUCGAGGAUUGGAGAGGAGACUGGAAUAGUCGGAGUAGCGGUGAAAUGCGUAGAGAUGGACUAGAACACCGGUGGCGAAGGCGAGUCUCUGGACAAUUCCUGACGCUCAGGCGCGAAAGCCAGGGGAGCAAACGGG